rnacentral:rRNA from 1 species
AGGACGAACGCUGGCGGCGUGCUUAACACAUGCAAGUCGAGCGGAAAGGCCCUUCGGGGUACUCGAGCGGCGAACGGGUGAGUAACACGUGAGUAAUCUGCCCCUAGCUCUGGGAUAGCUCCGGGAAACCGGGAUUAAUACCAGAUACGACCACUUUAGACAUCUUCUGUGGUGGAAAGAACUUCGGCUAGGGAUGAACUCGCGGCCUAUCAGCUUGUUGGUGAGGUAACGGCUCACCAAGGCGACGACGGGUAGCCGGCCUGAGAGGGCGACCGGCCACACUGGGACUGAGACACGGCCCAGACUCCUACGGGAGGCAGCAGUGGGGAAUAUUGCGCAAUGGGCGAAAGCCUGACGCAGCGACGCCGCGUGGGGGAUGAAGGCCUUCGGGUUGUAACCCCUUUCAGCAGGGACGAAGCGAAAGUGACGGUACCUGCAGAAGAGACGCCGGCUAACUACGCGCCAGCAGCCGC